GCCCUGGUGUUCUAGUGGUUAAGAUUCGGUGCUCAUACUGCCUCAGCCUGGGUUCAAUUCCCAGUUAGGGAA
rnacentral:tRNA from 1 species